rnacentral:rRNA from 1 species
UACGGAGGGGGCUAGCGUUGUUCGGAAUUACUGGGCGUAAAGCGCACGUAGGCGGUUUCUUAAGUCGGGGGUGAAAUCCUGGAGCUCAACUCCAGAACUGCCUUCGAUACUGAGAGACUUGAGUCCGGGAGAGGUGAGUGGAACUGCGAGUGUAGAGGUGAAAUUCGUAGAUAUUCGCAAGAACACCAGUGGCGAAGGCGGCUCACUGGCCCGGUACUGACGCUGAGGUGCGAAAGCGUGGGGAGCAAACAGG